rnacentral:tmRNA from 1 species
GGGGGCGACUUGGCUUCGACGGGGGUAACGGAGCUUGCGGUGCAUGCCGAGAGGGUAGUGACUCUCGUUAAUCAAUCGCUGUAACUUUUAUAGUUGCCAACGACGAAAACUACGCACUAGCGGCCUAAAAAACCCGCUUACGUCGAUGAUCUUGGCCUGCAAGGAGAAAUCGACGGCAAAGUUUGCAGGAUCGCGUGGACGCCUCGCCCGGGGCCGAAGCGUUAAAACCAAUCGGGCUCGCUGAGCGCACCCUGACCGUCGGGUCGCGCAAGGCUAAAUUAAUAGACGGACUCUAAGCAUGUAGAGCCAACAGCCGAGUGCCAACGGACGCGGGUUCAACUCCCGCCGCCUCCACCA